rnacentral:rRNA from 1 species
UACGGAGGGUGCAAACGUUGCUCGGAAUUAUUGGGCGUAAAGCGCACGUAGGCGGCCUGCUAUGUCGGGUGUGAAAUCCCUCGGCUCAACCGAGGAAGUGCAUUCGAAACUGGCAGGCUUGAAUACUCAAGAGGGUCUCGGAAUUCCCGGUGUAGAGGUGAAAUUCGUAGAUAUCGGGAGGAACACCAGUGGCGAAGGCGGAGACCUGGGGAGAUAUUGACGCUGAGGUGGCGAAAGCGUGGGGAGCAAACAGG